GGCUGGUUAGCUCAGUUGGUUAGAGCGUGCUGCUGCUAACGCCAAGGUCCAAGGUUCAAUACCUAUACCAGCCA